rnacentral:tRNA from 1 species
GGCUGGAUAGCUUAGUUGGUUAGAGUGUUGUCUUGACAUGCCAAGGUUAUGGGUUCGAUCCCUAGUCAGGGCA